UAAUUUCGUAUAACAUGUUUCGUAUGAGUUUCUUUUUCAUCAAUCUGCAGAUUCACAACAAAAACAAGUCUUGAUCAACAUCUACAAUCAUAGCCAUCUCCUUUAACAAAACCCUAAUUUCAACACUCUGGCCAUCUUCAUCAUCUUCCACCAAUUCCCAAAACUUGUUAAACCCUAAAUCCCAAAUUGAACCCAAAAAUUAAAGGAUUGUUAUCAUUGUAAGGUUUGAAGGAGUGAUGGUAUACGCCUUCUUAUGGGUUUGUUAGUACGGGCAUAGAUAUGAAAUUUGUUGAUGAUGAGGCAUAGAAUAUGGGCGGUGUAGCUAUGAGAUGAUGAUGUGUUGGUUGGUUAGGUUUAAUAUGGGUGUAGCUAUAUGAAGUUUAUACUAUGUUUUAUGGUUUAUCUAGACUCUCAAGUUCUUCUGAGUAGUCAAGAUGCAAGUAGCAAUUAUACUUUUCAAAGUUUAGAAUUAGCUUCACUAGAGCAGAUGCAAAGAGCUAUAAGUAAUAUUGGGAAUGGAAGUCAGAAAGGGAUGAAGAAAGUUGAAAGACAGAACCAGAUUGAGUAUGUGAGUGGUUUGUAUGAUCCUUCAUUUUUCUGGAAUGAUCAAGCCUCCAAAAUUUCAAUUCUAUGAUUCAAAGACACCUUUCUUCACUUCCCCGAGAUUCUUACCACCCACCAGAGUAGAAAAAUGCAAGGUAUUCCCCGAGAUUCUUACCACCCACCAAAGUAGAAAAAUGCAAGGUAUUGAAUCUUUUUCAUCUUCUAUUUGGUAUACGCCUUCUUAUGGAUUUUGCUAUCUAGGAUACCAUGAUGAUGGGUGCUGAUUAGUGAUUACUAUCAAACUGAGACUGAAAUUGCAUCUCUGCUGGCAGAAGCAAAUGUCCUAGUUGGUGUUGGAUUAGUGCGACUUUGUUUCAAUAGGAGCUAGCUGGGUGUCGAUUGUUGAAUUCAUUAGUGAAGUUGUCUGUGUAUUGUUGUGCUUCUGCUAUGCUGGUUCUGUUUUGUGUUAUAGAGGUCCAACUUCAUGAUUUAUAUUUUGUUAGAGUAGGUGGUUGCAUUAUGGUUGUAUUGAUUUAGUACAGGGGGUUGUACUAGUAUUUUUGUUCCAUUGUUGAAAGGGAGGAGUGUAUUGUAUCAUACUGUUGUUUUGUGAACCAGCACUUUUUGAGCUUAGUUCACUUAUUAAUCUAUUUUUUCUUAUCCAAAAAAAAAAUCAUGAAGUUAAUUUAGUAGGAGAUUUGGGAGCAUAAUUCAGUACUUCUAACACUGUUUCAGAGGUAGUUUUUGGCUUCAUUUCCUUUUUAUAAUAUUUGUUAGGUUUGUAUUUCAAAUCUGAACCAGCUUGUUUGAUACAAAAACUGGAUUUCUUAUAGUGAAUUGGUUUUGAACUGAUUUUGAUUUGAACCAGUCUCAAAUUUGGUUUUGCCACCGUAAACAUCAAAAUGAGACAUUAAUAUCAGAUCUGGAAUUCUCUUAUCAUCCUCUUCCUACGUAUCCGAAUGAAAUCAGGAAUCGAUUGCGAUGCUUUAAAUGCGACGGCGUCUGGUCACAGUAGCAAAUGGGUCUCGGAGAAGAACCUUAGUGGUGAAAGUUUACCGGUGAAGUUGUGAAGGUCAUAUUUUUCUAUUGUUUCUUUCUUUCUCUCCUCUUUUAUGUUGUUUCUGAUUAUUUCGUUUCUUUUUCAAAUUGCAAUAACUGGAACCCAAAUUAAAAGCUUCACUUUCAGGUAUCAACAUAAGAAUAUCAUAUUUUUUGUAUUUUCUGUCUACAAAAAUUAUUCUGAUACUUGGAUCUGUCAUGAAUGUUGAAAUUUAUAUUUGUGCAUCCUUAGUUUUCAUCUAUCUAUACGAACUGUUGAAAUUUGUUAGAAUAUGAUGAAUGAUUUGUCUCUGUUUGAUAUGAUGUAUUAUUCUUAUACUUGGAUCUGUCAUGAAUCUUUGAUAUCUAAAGUUAGAAAGAGAUAUAUUGAGUUACUUGUUAAGAUAAUCUAGAGUAGAUGUAUAAUUUGUCAAAUGUUGAUAUGAUUUUAAAUAACUGAAAAGUUAUAUGGGUGAAAAGAGAAAAGUGGAGAUAAAAUGUUAGAGAUGCCAUACUAAUACUUUCAGCUCUUCCUGGUUCAAGAAUAGAUUCAAGUGAUUUUUAGAAGAUGCUAACAGAACUAUGAGAUAUGCAAAGGCUACUUCAACAAAGCUUUGAUUCAGACGAGGAAGAGAAACAAGUUUAAAUGAGACACUUGCAUUUUAUCAUAGGGUGGUAUUUGGUUUUUGUUUUGAGCAUACUGGUGGUAGAAGUAUUAUACUUGUGACAUUGCGUUGUUUCCAGUUAGCAAAUAGUGAUGUAAUGUAUAAACUUUGGUAGAAUUAGAAGAAUAUGAAUGAGUUGCUUCUUUACUUGAUGAGGAGAGGAAACUGCUUAAAAUUUGUAGAACCAGAAGAGUAUGCAAGAGCUACUUCUAAUUGAUGAGAAGGACAAAGCCUAUGUGUGAAGCUUUAAUUGUACUCAUUAUUUUAACUUUGAAAAAAUUUAGAGUGUUUCUAUAGUAUCACAUGUCAAUUGCAAUUGUCAUUACUUUUAUAAUGUUUCAUAUUUCAUGUAGAACUCAUGAUUUAAGAUUGAAAUGUAUGUGCAUUGGUGUAAUAUUACAUUUGAAUGAAAGAGCUCAUUAAUUUGUAUCAA